rnacentral:lncRNA from 1 species
GACUUGAUGAUACUCUCAAAGAUGAGUGAUGAAUGAAUCUAAGAUGUUACUAGGUGAAUCAUGUAGUUGUCAACAAUCAACUCUUAUUAAGGCGACAAAAAAAUACACUACCCGAUGAAUUCAACACAUCUCAACAACAAGAUGAAGUAAAAAUGAUGAAAAAGUCGAUCCUAGGAAAGAAUACAAUGUAAAGGGGAUAACUAAUGUUCACCUAGACGGUAUCAUCAAUCUUCAACACUGCAUGUACCUCAAUCUAAUGAGCUUCGGUCCAUAACGGAAUUGAGAUACGUUGUAUCAAUACCAUUGAUGGAAAGUAUUAUACAGACGGGUCUUGAGUCGAGUUGCAUACGAGCUCUAUAAGUUGUCAUCUAAUUCAUCAGGUAUAUGUAACUUCUCAAUGGCAGCCUGUGGGAAAUAAAGAAACAAUAACGUUCAACUCACUAAUUAUUUAUAAAAAAAAAAUAAUAAUAAACAAUGAUCAAAGAAAAGAGAAUAUAACCUUGAUAGUAGCCACAUCAGUUGCAGAAGGCUUCAAAUCCAAAGCU